rnacentral:lncRNA from 1 species
AAGGGAGGUUGUUGAUCUUGGAAGCUAAGGGAAAUGAGGGAUUUGCUUGAUGCUAAACACAUAUUGCUUGAGUGGAGAUUACCCAGGUAUGGUUACUAUGUCUUCAAUGUUUCCAUUAAAUCCUUGUUCUUCUCUGUUUAUCUUCUCUUCGCUGCCCUUUGUUGCGCAUGCAUUCAUUUUUUGUGGGGAUCUCCUAUUAGAGGAGGGAGAAGAGAGGGGAAGAAAAAGAAAAGAAUCGGAGAAGGGAGGUUGUUGAUCUUGGAAGCUAAGGGAAAUGAGGGAUUUGCUUGAAGCUAAGCACAUAUUGCUUGAGUGGAGAUUACCCAUGGUUACUAUGCUUUCAAUGUUUCCAUUAAAACCUUGUUCUUCUCUGUUUAUCUUCUCUUCAUUGCCCUUUGUUGGGCAUGCAUUGAUUUUUACUGGGGAUCUCCUAUUAGAGGAGGGAGAAGGGAGGGGAAGAAAAAGAAAAGAAUCAGAGAAGGGAGGUUGUUGAUCUUGGAAGCUAAGGGAAACGAGGGAUUUGCUUGAUGCUAAGCACAUAUUGCUUGAGUGGAGAUUACCCAGGUAUGGUUACUAUGUUUUCAAUGUUUCCAUUAAAACCUUGUUCUUCUCUGUUUAUCUUCUCUUCACUGCCCUUUGUUGGGCAUGCAUUGAUUUUUACUGGGGAUCUCCUAUUAGAGGAGGGAGAAGGGAGGGGAAGAAAAAGAAAAGAAUCGGAGAAGGGAGGUUGUUGAUCUUGGAAGCUAAGGGAAAUGAGGGAUUUGCUUGAUGCUAAGCACAUAUUGCUUGAGUGGAGAUUACCCAGGUAUGGUUACUAUGUCUUCAAUGUUUCCAUUAAAACCUUGUUCUUCUCUUUUUAUCUUCUCUUCACUGCCCUUUGUUGCGCAUGCGUUCAUUUUUUGUGGGGGUCUCCUAUUAGAGGAGGGAGAAGGGAGGGGAAGAAAAAGAAAAGAAUCGGAGAAGGGAGGUUGUUGAUCUUGGAAGCUAAGGGAAAUGAGGGAUUUGCUUGAUGCUAAGCACAUAUUGCUUGAGUGGAGAUUACCCAGGUAUGGUUACUAUGUCUUCAAUGUUUCCAUUAAAACCUUGUUCUUCUCUUUUUAUCUUCUCUUCACUGCCCUUUGUUGCGCAUGCGUUCAUUUUUUGUGGGGAUCUCCUAUUAGAGGAGGGAGAAGGGAGGGGAAGAAAAAGAAAAGAAUCGGAGAAGGGAGGUUGUUGAUCUUGGAAGCUAAGGGAAAUGAGGGAUUUGCUCGAUGCUAAGCACAUAUUUGCUUGAGUGGAGAUUACCCAGGUAUGGUUACUAUGUCUUCAAUGUUUCCAUUAAAACCUUGUUCUUCUCUGUUUAUCUUCUCUUCACUGCCCUUUGUUGCACAUGGGUCGGCAAGCUCUGCAACUUAUUGCUCCUAUUCUUCUUCGCUGGUGUCUCUCUUGUUGAGCCUCGGACUUUGCAGUUUUGUUUGGAGUCCUACUGGUGUUUAGUCGUUUUUGUUCAUUAUUUAGCAUUCAGCUCUUGCUCGUGUAUUUGAGCAUAAGAAUGUCUGUUUCUUGGGUAUGUUGUAAACAGUGUUUGAAAUAUAUUUUUCUCUGAAAUUUCGGUAAUCGGCCGGCUCCCGUC